CAAUAAGUAGUUUAAAUUAAAAUAUUAAUUUUGGAGAUUAAUGAUGAGAGAUUUCUUUUUAUUGA
rnacentral:tRNA from 1 species